AGCAGCCGCGGUAAUUCCAGCUCCAAUAGCGUAUAUUAAAGUUGUUGCAGUUAAAAAGCUCGUAGUUGAAUUUCGGAAUCUGUCCAUCGGUCGGGCUUCACUGUCCGUACUGGUGUGGUGGGUUCUUACCUUCUGAAUAACCAGCAUGCCAUUAAUUUGGUGCGUUGGGGAAGCAGGACUAUUACCUUGAAAAAUUAGAGUGCUCAAAGCAGGCCAGUGCCUGAAUAUAUUAGCAUGGAAUAAUAAAAUAGGACGGCAUGGUUCUAUUUUGUUGGUUUCUAGGAUCACCGUAAUGAUUAAUAGGGAUAGUUGGGGGCAUUAGUAUUCAAUUGUCAGAGGUGAAAUUCUUGGAUUUAUUGAAGACUAACUUCUGCGAAAGCAUUUGCCAAGGAUGUUUUCAUUAAUCAAGAACGAAAGUUAGGGGAUCGAAGACGAUCAGAUACCGUCGUAGUCUUAACCAUAAACUAUGCCGACUAGGGAUCGGACGAUGUUAAUUUUUAAUGACUCGUUCGGUCG
rnacentral:rRNA from 1 species